CCUACGGGAGGCACCAGUGGGGAAUAUUGCACAAUGGGCGCAAGCCUGAUGCAGCCAUGCCGCGUGUGUGAAGAAGGCCUUCGGGUUGUAAAGUACUUUCAGCGGGGAGGAAGGUGUUGUGGUUAAUAACCACAGCAAUUGACGUUACCCGCAGAAGAAGCACCGGCUAACUCCGUGCCAGCAGCCGCGGUAAUACGGAGGGUGCAAGCGUUAAUCGGAACUACUGGGCGUAAAGCGCACGCAGGCGGUUUGUUAAGUCAGAUGUGAAAUCCCCGGGCUCAACCUGGGAACUGCAUUUGAAACUGGCAAGCUAGAGUCUCGUAGAGGGGGGUAGAAUUCCAGGUGUAGCGGUGAAAUGCGUAGAGAUCUGGAGGAAUACCGGUGGCGAAGGCGGCCCCCUGGACGAAGACUGACGCUCAGGUGCGAAAGCGUGGGGAGCAAACAGGAUUAGAUACCCCAGUAGUC
rnacentral:rRNA from 1 species